GAUGAACGCUGGCGGCGUGCCUAAUACAUGCAAGUCGAGCGAACAGACGAGGAGCUUGCUCCUCUGACGUUAGCGGCGGACGGGUGAGUAACACGUGGAUAACCUACCUAUAAGACUGGGAUAACUUCGGGAAACCGGAGCUAAUACCGGAUAAUAUAUUGAACCGCAUGGUUCAAUAGUGGAAGACGGUUUUGCUGUCACUUAUAGAUGGAUCCGCGCCACAUUAGCUAGUUGGUAAGGUAACGGCUUACCAAGGCAACGAUGCGUAGCCGACCUGAGAGGGUGAUCGGCCACACUGGAACUGAGACACGGUCCAGACUCCUACGGGAGGCAGCAGUAGGGAAUCUUCCGCAAUGGGCGAAAGCCUGACGGAGCAACGCCGCGUGAGUGAUGAAGGUCUUCGGAUCGUAAAACUCUGUUAUUAGGGAAGAACAAAUGUGUAAGUAACUAUGCACGUCUUGACGGUACCUAAUCAGAAAGCCACGGCUAACUACGUG
rnacentral:rRNA from 1 species